rnacentral:rRNA from 1 species
UGGGGAAUAUUGGACAAUGGGGGCAACCCUGAUCCAGCCAUGCCGCGUGAGUGAAGAAGGCCCUAGGGUUGUAAAGCUCUUUCACCCGUGACGAUGAUGACGGUAGCGGGAGAAGAAGCCCCGGCUAAUUCCGUGCCAGCAGCCGCGGUAAUACGGAAGGGGCUAGCGUUGUUCGGAUUUACUGGGCGUAAAGAGCACGUAGGCGGCUAAUCAAGUGAGGCGUGAAAGGCCUGGGCUCAACCUGGGAACUGCGCUUCAUACUGGUUGGCUUGAGUCCGGGAGAGGGUGGUGGAAUUCCCAGUGUAGAGGUGAAAUUCGUAGAUAUUGGGAGGAACACCGGUGGCGAAGGCGGCCACCUGGCCCGGCACUGACGCUCAAGUGCGAAAGCGUGGGGAGCAAACAGGAUUAGAUACCCCCGUAGUCC